rnacentral:rRNA from 1 species
AUUGAACGCUGGCGGCAGGCUUAACACAUGCAAGUCGAACGGUAACAGGAAGAAAGCUUGCUUUCUUUGCUGACGAGUGGCGGACGGGUGAGUAAUGCUUGGGAAUCUGGCUUAUGGAGGGGGAUAACUACGGGAAACUGUAGCUAAUACCGCGUAAUAUCGAGAGAUUAAAGGGUGGGACCGCAAGGCCACCUGCCAUGAGAUGAGCCCAAGUGGGAUUAGGUAGUUGGUGAGGUAAAGGCUCACCAAGCCGACGAUCUCUAGCUGGUCUGAGAGGAUGACCAGCCACACUGGAACUGAGACACGGUCCAGACUCCUACGGGAGGCAGCAGUGGGGAAUAUUGCACAAUGGGGGGAACCCUGAUGCAGCCAUGCCGCGUGAAUGAAGAAGGCCUUCGGGUUGUAAAGUUCUUUCGGUAGCGAGGAAGGCAUUUAGUUUAAUAGACUAGAUGAUUGACGUUAACUACAGAAGAAGCACCGGCUAACUCCGUGCCAGCAGCCGCGGUAAUACGGGGGGUGCGAGCGUUAAUCGGAAUAACUGGGCGUAAAGGGCACGCAGGCGGUGACUUAAGUGAGAUGUGAAAGCCCCGGGCUUAACCUGGGAAUUGCAUUUCAUACUGGGUCGCUAGAGUACUUUAGGGAGGGGUAGAAUUCCACGUGUAGCGGUGAAAUGCGUAGAGAUGUGGAGGAAUACCGAAGGCGAAGGCAGCCCCUUGGGAAUGUACUGACGCUCAUGUGCGAAAGCGUGGGGAGCAAACAGG